rnacentral:rRNA from 1 species
UGGCGGCGUGCUUAACACAUGCAAGUCGAACGAAGCACUUUAUUUGAUUUCCUUCGGGACUGAUUAUUUUGUGACUGAGUGGCGGACGGGUGAGUAACGCGUGGGUAACCUGCCUUGUACAGGGGGAUAACAGUUGGAAACGGCUGCUAAUACCGCAUAAGCGCACAGUAUCGCAUGAUGCAGUGUGAAAAACUCCGGUGGUAUAAGAUGGACCCGCGUUGGAUUAGCUAGUUGGUGAGGUAACGGCCCACCAAGGCGACGAUCCAUAGCCGACCUGAGAGGGUGACCGGCCACAUUGGGACUGAGACACGGCCCAAACUCCUACGGGAGGCAGCAGUGGGGAAUAUUGCACAAUGGGCGAAAGCCUGAUGCAGCGACGCCGCGUGAGCGAAGAAGUUAUUUCGGUAUGUAAAGCUCUAUCAGCAGGGAAGAUAAUGACGGUACCUGACUAAGAAGCACCGGCUAAAUACGUGCCAGCAGCCGCGGUAAUACGUAUGGUGCAAGCGUUAUCCGGAUUUACUGGGUGUAAAGGGAGCGCAGGCGGUGCGGCAAGUCUGAUGUGAAAGCCCGGGGCUCAACCCCGGUACUGCAUUGGAAACUGUCGUACUAGAGUGUCGGAGGGGUAAGCGGAAUUCCUAAUGUAGCGGUGAAAUGCGUAGAUAUUAGGAGGAACACCAGUGGCGAAGGCGGCUUACUGGACGAUAACUGACGCUGAGGCUCGAAAGCGUGGGGAGCAAACAAGAUUAGAUGCCCUGGUAGUCCCCCCCCGUUUGCGCCCAAAAAUGGGUGUUGGGAAGCAUGGCUUCUCGGUGCCGUCGCAAACGCAGUAAGUAUUCCACCUGGGGAGUACGUUCGCAAGAAUGAAACUCAAAGGAAUUGACGGGGACCCGCACAAGCGGUGGAGCAUGUGGUUUAAUUCGAAGCAACGCGAAGAACCUUACCAAGUCUUGACAUCCUUCUGACCGGUACUUAACCGUACCUUCUCUUCGGAGCAGGAGUGACAGGUGGUGCAUGGUUGUCGUCAGCUCGUGUCGUGAGAUGUUGGGUUAAGUCCCGCAACGAGCGCAACCCUUAUCUUUAGUAGCCAGCGGUUCGGCCGGGCACUCUAGAGAGACUGCCAGGGAUAACCUGGAGGAAGGCGGGGAUGACGUCAAAUCAUCAUGCCCCUUAUGACUUGGGCUACACACGUGCUACAAUGGCGUAAACAAAGGGAAGCGAAGCUGUGAAGCCGAGCAAAUCUCAAAAAUAACGUCUCAGUUCGGACUGUAGUCUGCAACCCGACUACACGAAGCUGGAAUCGCUAGUAAUCGCAGAUCAGAAUGCUGCGGUGAAUACGUUCCCGGGUCUUGCACACAGCGCCCGUC